GUUAGCGGCGGACGGGUGAGUAACACGUGGGUAACCUGCCUGUAAGACUGGGAUAACUCCGGGAAACCGGAGCUAAUACCGGAUAGUUCCUUGAACCGCAUGGUUCAAGGAUGAAAGACGGUUUCGGCUGUCACUUACAGAUGGACCCGCGGCGCAUUAGCUAGUUGGUGGGGUAAUGGCUCACCAAGGCGACGAUGCGUAGCCGACCUGAGAGGGUGAUCGGCCACACUGGGACUGAGACACGGCCCAGACUCCUACGGGAGGCAGCAGUAGGGAAUCUUCCGCAAUGGACGAAAGUCUGACGGAGCAACGCCGCGUGAGUGAUGAAGGUUUUCGGAUCGUAAAGCUCUGUUGUUAGGGAAGAACAAGUGCGAGAGUAACUGCUCGCACCUUGACGGUACCUAACCAGAAAGCCACGGCUAACUACGUGCCAGCAGCCGCGGUAAUACGUAGGUGGCAAGCGUUGUCCGGAAUUAUUGGGCGUAAAGGGCUCGCAGGCGGUUUCUUAAGUCUGAUGUGAAAGCCCCCGGCUCAACCGGGGAGGGUCAUUGGAAACUGGGAAACUUGAGUGCAGAAGAGGAGAGUGGAAUUCCACGUGUAGCGGUGAAAUGCGUAGAGAUGUGGAGGAACACCAGUGGCGAAGGCGACUCUCUGGUCUGUAACUGACGCUGAGGAGCGAAAGCGUGGGGAGCGAACAGGAUUAGAUACCCUGGUAGUCCACGCCGUAAACGAUGAGUGCUAAGUGUUAGGGGGUUUCCGCCCCUUAGUGCUGCAGCUAACGCAUUAAGCACUCCGCCUGGGGAGUACGGUCGCAAGACUGAAACUCAAAGGAAUUGACGGGGGCCCGCACAAGCGGUGGAGCAUGUGGUUUAAUUCGAAGCAACGCGAAGAACCUUACCAGGUCUUGACAUCCUCUGACAACCCUAGAGAUAGGGCUUUCCCUUCGGGGACAGAGUGACAGGUGGUGCAUGGUUGUCGUCAGCUCGUGUCGUGAGAUGUUGGGUUAAGUCCCGCAACGAGCGCAACCCUUGAUCUUAGUUGCCAGCAUUUAGUUGGGCACUCUAAGGUGACUGCCGGUGACAAACCGGAGGAAGGUGGGGAUGACGUCAAAUCAUCAUGCCCCUUAUGACCUGGGCUACACACGUGCUACAAUGGACAGAACAAAGGGCUGCGAGACCGCAAGGUUUAGCCAAUCCCAUAAAUCUGUUCUCAGUUCGGAUCGCAGUCUGCAACUCGACUGCGUGAAGCUGGAAUCGCUAGUAAUCGCGGAUCAG
rnacentral:rRNA from 1 species